AGAGUUUGAUCCUGGCUCAGGACGAACGCUGGCGGUGUGCUUCACACAUGCAAGUCGAGCGAAUGAAGUAGGUAGCUUGCUACUUAUGGAUUUAGCGGCGGACGGGUGAGUAAUAUAUAGGAAUCUGCCUUAGAGCGGGGAACAACAGACCGAAAGGUUUGCUAAUGCCCCAUAGGUAUGCAGUCUUCGGAUUGUAUAUUAAAGGAGUAAUCCACUCUAAGAUGAGCCUGUAUCCGAUUAGCUAGUUGGCGGGGUAAAGGCCCACCAAGGCUACGAUCGGUAGUUGGUCUGAGAGGAUGAUCAGCCACAAUGGGACUGAGACACGGCCCAUACUCCUACGGGAGGCAGCAGUGGGGAAUUUUACACAAUGGGGGAAACCCUGAUGUAGCGACACCGCGUGAACGAAGAAGCCUUUUGGGGUGUAAAGUUCUGUCGGCUGGAACGAAAAAAAUGACGGUACCAGCAAAGGAAGCAUCGGCUAACUACGUGCCAGCAGCCGCGGUAAGACGUAGGAUGCAAGCGUUGUCCGGAUUUAUUGGGCGUAAAGAGUUCGUAGGCGGUUAUUUAAGUCUGAUGUUAAAUACUGUGGCCCAACCACAGAACUGCAUUGGAUACUGGAUGACUUGAGUGCGGUAGAAGCAAGUGGAAUUCCCAGUGUAGCGGUGAAAUGCGUAGA
rnacentral:rRNA from 1 species